GGAUGUUAAGAUUCCUCUCUGCACAUUUACAGAUGGAGGGAUUUCCAGCGCGUCAUCACAGAACUUAUUCAGACGGUGACUAACUGCCCCACUCGAAUCCCAUGACAGCAGAGAAUUGUGUACUAUGUGAGGCUGCGCAGAGGCCAUUCCUCCGUCCGAAGAGGGUAGCAGCACGUGAAAAUGGACGUUCUAUAGCGGUGGCUCUAACAGCUCUCUUCCUCUGAGCAUGCCUACUCUGAACUCUGCAGCUGCUCCACCCUGGAAAUACUGAUCUCCAAUGUUCAAGUGCUAUCAAAGUUCUGAGCAUUUGGGAUUAAAAA
rnacentral:lncRNA from 1 species